rnacentral:rRNA from 1 species
UACGUAGGGUGCAGGCGUUAAUCGGAAUUACUGGGCGUAAAGGGUGCGCAGGCGGUCCUGCAAGUCAGGCGUGAAAUCCCCGGGCUUAACCUGGGAAUGGCACUUGAAACUACGGGACUGGAGUAUGGCAGAGGGAGGUGGAAUUCCACGUGUAGCGGUGAAAUGCGUAGAGAUGUGGAGGAACACCGAUGGCGAAGGCAGGUCUCUGGGCAUUAACUGACGCUGAGGAGCGAAAGCAUGGGGAGCGAACAGG